AGUGAACGCUGGCGGUAGGCCUAACACAUGCAAGUCGAACGGCAGCACAGUAAGAGCUUGCUCUUACGGGUGGCGAGUGGCGGACGGGUGAGGAAUACAUCGGAAUCUACUUUUUCGUGGGGGUUAAGUAGGGGAACUUAAGGCAAUUACGCCAAAGAACUUCGGGUGAAAACAGGGGAAUUUUCGAACCUGCCCCGUUGGAUUGGCCGAUGUCGGAUUAGCUAGUUGGCGGGGUAAAGGCCCACCAAGGCGACGAUCCGUAGCUGGUCUGAGAGGAUGAUCAGCCACACUGGAACUGAGACACGGUCCAGACUCCUACGGGAGGCAGCAGUGGGGAAUAUUGGACAAUGGGCGCAAGCCUGAUCCAGCCAUACCGCGUGGGUGAAGGAGGCCUUCGGGUUGUAAAGCCCUUUUGUUGGGAAAGAAAAGCAGCAGGUUAAUACCCCGCUGUUCUGACGGUACCCAAAGAAUAAGCACCGGCUAACUUCGUG
rnacentral:rRNA from 1 species